GAUGAACGCUAGCUACAGGCUUAACACAUGCAAGUCGAGGGGAAACGACAUCGAAAGCUUGCUUUUGAUGGGCGUCGACCGGCGCACGGGUGAGUAACGCGUAUCCAACCUGCCCAUCACUUGGGAAUAACCUUGCGAAAGUAAGACUAAUACCCAAUGAUAUCCCACGAAGGCAUCGGAAUGGGAUUAAAGAUUUAUCGGUGAUGGAUGGGGAUGCGUCUGAUUAGCUUGUUGGCGGGGUAACGGCCCACCAAGGCAACGAUCAGUAGGGGUUCUGAGAGGAAGGCCCCCCACAUUGGAACUGAGACACGGUCCAAACUCCUACGGGAGGCAGCAGUGAGGAAUAUUGGUCAAUGGGCGAGAGCCUGAACCAGCCAAGUAGCGUGCAGGAAGACGGCCCUAUGGGUUGUAAACUGCUUUUAUAAGGGAAUAAAGUGGGUCACGUGUGACUUUUUGCAUGUACCUUAUGAAUAAGGACCGGCUAAUUCCGUG
rnacentral:rRNA from 1 species